AAACCUAUGGGCCCAAUUGGGUUCCGUGUUGGGCCUCGCCCCUCUCUGAGCGGCGUCGCCUUGAAGGGAUCGGCUUCAUGGAGCGGAUGGGAUCCUUCUGGACUGACCGUUCCAUGACCGGAGUUUGACUCUG
rnacentral:misc_RNA from 1 species